ensembl:lncRNA
AAGUAAUGCAAAAACAAGCAACAAAAACUAAACCAAAGCUAACUAAACUCGUGAUCGUAGUAUAGAAGAAGAUAAAGGCACCUUCCAGUGUGAUGCUAGAACGAUGGAAAGUGGAAAAUGAGUGUAGAAAGUAAAAGACAGCCAAGAACUGCAGGAGCUACUGUAACGCUACCAGGCUGCCAUCCUUGAUGACGACACAAUAACACCAACCCAACACGACAGACCACAGGGCAUCAAAUAUAGAGGCGAAGGACGGAGCGGGGGAGAAGGUGGAGCACGGACGGAGGUGGAGGAGAAGAAUAGAGGACGGACGGAGGGGAAGAAGGAAAUAGUGGCAGCAUUGAAGGUAAGGGACAAGACAAAGAAAAAGAACGUCCAAAUCCCAUCCUCACAGCUGGAGUCCCGCGGCAGAGUACAAGAAAGGCACAGGAACGUGAGGAAGGAAGGAAGUGGAGCAAAGUGGCAUCGCGAUGAAGGUGGUCCAACAUGGCGGGGAACCGGCUGGUUUCUGGCGGAGAAGUCGGUACUGGAAAAAUUACACCGGGGCGUCUUAUGGACAGCUGUGUUCGGGAACGUUGUGAAGAAAGAAGAGACUCAACAGACUGAAAGGGGAGACCUCACCGUAGAAAUCCCCGUUCUACGCUGCUACCUGCCGUCCGAUCCGGCGACUCUCGCUUUCAGUUGAAAGGCCCAGGUGAGGUAAAGGGGCGGAGCUCCAGACAGGUGAGUCGGCGCAGUUGUCUCCCCCCACCUGGAGCUGGAAGGGAACUUUGAUCUAUUUAUAUCAUCGAAUAAAAUGUCUAUAUUGAUGAUGUCG